rnacentral:rRNA from 1 species
ACGGCUCAGUAACACGUGGACAACCUGCCCUUAGGUUGGGUAUAAACCCGGGAAACUGGGUAUAAUACCCGAUAGGUCUCGAUUGCUGGAAUGCAUCGAGAUUUAAAGCUCCGGCGCCUAAGGAUGGGUCUGCGGCCUAUCAGGUAGUAGUGGGUGUAGCGUACCUACUAGCCUACGACGGGUACGGGUUGUGAGAGCAAGAGCCCGGAGAUGGAUUCUGAGACACGAAUCCAGGCCCUACGGGGUGCAGCAGGCGCGAAAACUUUACAAUGCUGGCAACAGCGAUAAGGGAACCUCGAGUGCCAGGUUACAAAUCUGGCUGUCGAGAUGCCUAAAAAGCAUUUCAUAGCAAGGGCCGGGCAAGACCGGUGCCAGCCGCCGCGGUAACACCGGCGGCUCGAGUGGUAACCGUUAUUAUUGGGUCUAAAGGGUCUGUAGCCGGCCGGAUAAGUCUCUUGAGAAAUCUGGCAGCUUAACUGUCAGGCUUUCAGGAGAUACCGUCUGGCUCGAGGCCGGGAGAGGUGAGAGGUACUUCAGGGGUAGGGGUGAAAUCUUGUAAUCCUUGAAGGACCACCAGUGGCGAAGGCGUCUCACCAGAACGGACCUGACGGCAAGGGACGAAAGCUAGGGGCACGAACCGGAUUAGAUACCCGGGUAGUCCUAGCCGUAAACGAUACUCGCUAGGUGUCGGCCACGGUGCGACCGUUGUCGGUGCCGUAGGGAAGCCGUGAAGCGAGCCACCUGGGAAGUACGGCCGCAAGGCUGAAACUUAAAGGAAUUGGCGGGGGAGCAC